ACUAAACAAUGCACAAAAAUAAUUGAAAGAAACUAAUAAGGGACUACAUUGAAAAACAAAAAAAAUGAAGAAAAUGAUAAAAAAUAAAGAGAAAUAUAAAAAAAAAGACUAAAAUUGGAAACCAAAUAAAAUUAAAUAAAACUCCCAAAGAUAAAAUAAAUAAAAAAAAGUAAUAAUGAAAAGGAUAAAAAAAAACAAUUAAAAGAAUGAAGACCAGAUUGGAUAAAAAAAAUCUAACGAGAUUAAAUGAUUAGGAACGAAAUUAAAAACAAAACAAACUUAAAGAAACAUCAAAUCUAAAA
rnacentral:lncRNA from 1 species